UACGAAGGGGGCUAGCGUUGUUCGGAAUUACUGGGCGUAAAGCGCGCGCAGGCGGUCUUCCAAGUCAGUGGUGAAAGCCCGGAGCUCAACUCCGGAAUUGCCAUUGAAACUGUGAGACUGGAGUACGAGAGAGGUGAGUGGAAUUCCCAGUGUAGAGGUGAAAUUCGUAGAUAUUGGGAAGAACACCGGUGGCGAAGGCGGCUCACUGGCUCGUAACUGACGCUCAGGCGCGAAAGCGUGGGGAUCAAACAGG
rnacentral:rRNA from 1 species